UGUCGGUGAAGUUAUUCAAUGAAUACAAGGGAAAACUGCCAUGGACGGACCAGGACAUCAUGAAUAUCAUAUAUCAUUACCAUCCCGAAAGGGUUUUUCUACUGCCAUGUAACUGGAAUUUUCGAUACGUACACUGCCACUACAAAGACAAAGCUAAUAUCGGCCAUAUUGGAUUAUGCCCCGAUGCCGAGAAGAAGGGAGCAUUCAUUGUACAUGGAAACGACCGAGCCUUUACUAGAAACAACUGGCCGGCCAUCAGGGGAGUUUAUAAAGCAAUGAAAAAUUACGAGUUUGAAUCGAAUCUCCGAACAGGCCUACUCGAUCCUUUACUGAAAUACAUUGAAGAUGAAGCCAAGAUGACGCCGUGUCGGGAAAAGAAAGACGUCAUCACGUUAAACUUGAAGAGAUUGAUCGAAGAGAGUGAACAGAGCUGACACUUGGAAGAUGCCAUGAUUCUGAAAUUAUACGAUACGAAGAAAACCUGAAUGUUAGGUGCAGCGUCAAUAACUUUUCUUGGAAUGCUUCACUGCAAUACUAGAAUUGAUUUUAAACUUUAUUCAUAAUGCUUUUUGAUUGUUUUUGAUUGUGACAUCGUCAUCAGUGUUUUCCUGGGGGACAUGGGUGAUCGCAUGCCAAUCUACCGUCGUUGUGCGUAUAUCCAGGAGACUUAAGGAUUGACAUUCACUGCCGGUAAGUCCGGCAUGAGAUAAUGGUGCAACUACCAUUCCCGAGUGUAUAAAUCUUGUCGUGCACUUCGACAAGAUAUGUUUUGG